UAUUAUAUUAAAUCAUAAUCUAUGUAUGAUAGUACUGUUAAAUUUUAAGUUCAUCUUUAUUAAUCUGAUAAUUGUUUUAAAUUUUUUAUAGAUGUUAGGAGCUUAUCAACAAGCACAAAUAAAGAAGGACCAAUUUAUUAGACAAUCAUUUAACUUAUGUUGCCCUCAAUUUUGCUGUCAAAAUAUAGCUAUCACGUAUUCUACUGCUAUUGCUGAAACAUGUUAUUAUACCAAUCAUUGUUUCUAAUUUUCAAAUUUAAGACAACACUGGAGAUUCUUCUCCUAUUGCCAAAACAAGUCAAAUUUUGAAGGCCAUUCAUUAGUGAUUACUCCUAUAUUCAUAGAAUUUCAAAUCUAUUAUCAGCAGCUCAUUAUUCUUCUCCAGAUGGAUUAAUUUCAGAUAAAUAUUCAAUAGUUUUACAAGAAUGGGAUAAGAAUAUAAUGAAAAACAUUAUCCCCAUAAAAUACAAACAAGG